rnacentral:rRNA from 1 species
CAAUAGCGUAUAUUAAAGUUGUUGCAGUUAAAAAGCUCGUAGUUGGAUUUGUGGCGUACGGUGGGUUCCGGGCACUUGUUGUCUGAGUAACUUGCUGUUGCCAUCCUUGGGUGGAACCUGUGUGGCAUUAGGUUGUCGUGCAGGGGAUGCCCAUCAUUUACUGUGAAAAAAUUAGAGUGUUCAAAGCAGGCUUAUGCCGUUGAAUAUAUUAGCAUGGAAUAAUGAGAUAGGACUUUUUUGCUAUUUUGUUGGUUUGCGCAAAGAGGUAAUGAUUAAUAGGGACAGUUGGGGGUAUUCGUAUUCCAUUGUCAGAGGUGAAAUUCUUGGAUUUUUGGAAGACGAACUACUGCGAAAGCACUUACCAAGGAUGUUUUCAUUAA